rnacentral:rRNA from 1 species
GACAGAGGAGCCAAGCGUUGUCCGGAUUGACUGGGCGUAAAGCGCACGCAGGCGGGUGCGCGCGUGGGGUGUGAAACCUGGCCGCUUAACGGCCAGCGGCCAUCCCAUACGGCGCGCCUGGAGCCUUGCAGAGGGCGGUGGAAUUGCCGGUGUAGUGGUGAAAUGCGUAGAGAUCGGCAGGAACACCCAGGGAGAAAUCAGCCGCCUGGGCAAGUGCUGACGCUGAGGCGCGA